UACGGGGGGGGCAAGCGUUGUUCGGAAUUACUGGGCGUAAAGGGCUCGUAGGUGGCCAACUAAGUCGGACGUGAAAUCCCUCGGCUUAACCGGGGAACUGCGUCCGAUACUGGUUGGCUUGAGUUUGGGAGAGGGAUGCGGAAUUCCAGGUGUAGCGGUGAAAUGCGUAGAUAUCUGGAGGAACACCGGUGGCGAAGGCGGCAUCCUGGACCGACACUGACGCUGAGGCGCGAAAGCUAGGGGAGCAAACGGGG
rnacentral:rRNA from 1 species